rnacentral:lncRNA from 1 species
UAGGUGCAGCCCCAGUAGCAGUGCACAAGGAAGUAAUGGGACUGUGGUGGUAGUGGAAGAUACUCCCACAGCUGAGAAUAUGCUGCUUUCAGCCAUCAGGAUCACCACUACCGCCACAGACAGUUCAGAGAAGAAAAUGCAGACAAGCCAUUUGCUACUGAUUCCACCCAUCUUCUCAUUCAGUGGAAUGGUCUGAUGAGAAAGGAAGUGCACAAGCUCCACCUAAAAGACCCAGCAUGUGGCUGUAGCCUCACCAAGCCCUAUUGUUGACCCACAGACAUUCUCUCCUUGGUCCCCCUUUGAGGACAGUGGCAUCAACCCCUAGAGUGUGUCAUGGUGCUACUUGGCAGAGCCCAUAUCUGCAGCCAGGAUAUAUCCCCAUCCUGCAUCUGUGGCCUCCAGAUUGUCAAUUCACCCCAUCAAAA